rnacentral:rRNA from 1 species
UGGGGAAUUGUUCGCAAUGGGCGAAAGCCUGACGACGCAACGCCGCGUGGAGGAUGAAGAAUUUCGGUUCGUAAACUCCUGUCGAGCGGGACGAAAGAUGCGCGGGUUAAUACCCCGCGCAAGUGACGGUACCGCUAAAGGAAGCCCCGGCUAACUCCGUGCCAGCAGCCGCGGUAAUACGGGGGGGGCAAGCGUUGUUCGGAAUUACUGGGCGUAAAGGGCUCGUAGGCGGCCAAUUAAGUCACACGUGAAAUCCCUCGGCUCAACCGGGGAACUGCGUGUGAGACUGGAUGGCUUGAGUUUGGGAGAGGAAUGCGGAAUUCCAGGUGUAGCGGUGAAAUGCGUAGAUAUCUGGAGGAACACCGGUGGCGAAGGCGGCAUUCUGGACCAAUACUGACGCUGAGGAGCGAAAGCCAGGGGAGCAAACGGGAUUAGAUACCCCGGUAGUCCUGGCCCUAAACGAUGAAUACGUUGGUGUGGCGGUAUCGAUCCCUGCCGUGCCGAAGCUAACGCA